rnacentral:tRNA from 1 species
GAAAUAUUUUAUAAAAAGCUUCUAACUUUUUUUUAGUGGUUAAAUUCCAUUAAUAUUUCU